UGGAAGAAGUAGAAAGAAAUUGUUCCUGGCGUUCCCGCUGACAUGGAGCUUCCGUCGUGCGACUUUUAUGCGCUUUCCCCCGGCCACAUUUACUAAUCCGUGUGUUGCCCAAAUGUAAUGAAAUGUUGAAUACUCCGUGGCUGUGCUCACACUUUCAUAUACGUUUAUGUCGUUAUGCUACGUGUUUUCCUGCGACGGAUGAAAUUGUUAAAAUUACGGAUGUUGUGUUUAGGUUGGCAGUAGAAUCUGACGGAAUCGAUAGUGAUUAGCAGACAUGGAAGCGAAGCAUAAGUGUGAAUAUAUAGUGCUUUUUAUGAUUCUGCAGCAUUGUUGUGCUAGGAUUCAUAAAUUGGAUAUAAAAAAUGAUGUCCGUAAAUAUAUCGCUCUUAGUACAUUUGGUUUCUACAAGGGUGGAUUACUUGAAGUGAAACUUCGUAAUUUUCGCCCUACUCCAUACCAUGAACUUGAUGUGUUUGGAUUCAGCCUGGAUCGCACAAGGAAUGAUGCUGUGAAUCCAUACUUGGAGGACCAUCAAGAUGUAUGUCUGCUUCAAGAUUGGACUCAUCCAAAGCCCAACAGUGAAACCAUAUAUUUCCGGCUUAAUCUGAAGAAGAAGUUGUUACAGAUAAAUUGCAGUCAUGAUUUUCAAUCAAUUCAAAUAUCUAAAGAUACUGAAGAGAUGGCUGAAGUACGAUCAAAAAGGGGCUAUGCAGCAUCCCGCUUCAGUGACGCAUUUCUCGUACACCAGCAUAGAAAGAAGAGACAUGCUGAAGGAAUUGGGGUUCGAGGGAAUCUAAGUGUUACCAGACCAGUCCAUGCAGGAAAAGGAUGUCCAAAAUUAGAGAAGCUGGAAUUUCCCAUUACUGAAAGAAUUUCUGAUGGAGUUAAAUAUUUCAAUACUAAUUUUGUGGUAUCUGUUGAAAGUGAGAUUGAUGAAGGACUGUACAGCUUAUAUUUCCACAAUUGUCCAAAUUACAAAGAUGGUUCUCCAGUGGUUCAUAAUUUUAUGUUGGAGAUUGAAGAAAAUAACAGUGGAAAUUACUUGUCAGCUGGUGAGAUGCCUCUUCCAGCCCUCUACUUCAUGAUGUCUCUCCUCUUUUUCCUCUCAGGCUGUUUCUGGCUAUUCAUUUUGCGCAAAAGCAAACACCCAGUGUUCAAGAUCCAUUACUUUAUGGCAGUACUGGUAUAUUUGAAGUCCUUGUCACUGAUGUUCCAUGGAAUUAACUAUCACUUCAUUCAAACCAAGGGAGAACACAUAGCAGCUUGGGCCAUCCUGUACUAUGUUGCACACCUGUUGAAAGGUGCAGUGUUAUUCAUCACUAUUGUUCUUGUGGGUACUGGCUGGACUUUUAUUAAACAUAUCUUGUCUGAGAAGGAUAAGAAGAUAUUCAUGAUAGUUAUACCAUUGCAGGUGCUGGCUAAUGUGGCUGACAUUAUCAUUGAAGAAUCAGAAGAGGGAGCAGUUGAACAUCGGACCUGGCGCAAUGUAUUCACGCUAGUGGAUUUCUUAUGCUGUGGGGCCAUCCUCUUUCCUAUUGUUUGGUCAAUCAGACAUCUUCAGGAAGCUUCACACACGGAUGGAAAAGCAGCUAUCAACUUACGGAAACUGAAGCUCUUCCGACAUUUCUACAUCAUGAUAAUUUGUUACAUCUAUUCGACAAGAAUCAUCGUAUACUUGCUCAAGAUCACAGUGCCAUUCCAGUACGAGUGGCUGGAUGAGAUGUUCCACGAAAUGGCUACAUAUGUGUUCUUUGUGCUGACAGGCUACAAGUUUCGGCCUGCAUCGGCCAAUCCUUACUUUCAGCUCAGCACUGAUGAAGAUGCUGAAGAAACAGAUAUCGUGGUCACUCAGUCAGGCUUGACAGAGGGUCUAAGCAAGAUUGCACGUACGACCAAGGUGAUUGUUGAUGAGAUAUCUGAUGAAGAAAAAGACAACUUUCUGGCCAAGAGGGAGAGCAGCCAUGAGUAUGAUUGAUGACAAACCCCAAAUGUACACGUGAUUAUUCUUGCAUUGAUUGUUGGGGUAUAUUAAAAUCAGGAGGCUUCUUUAAUGGCUUCCCCUCAUCCUCGGUGACCGUGCUGCCCCCUGUGCCAGAUCAUCAUGCUGUAUGGGGAAUGCUUAUGCUGAGAAUGUUGUAUACAGAACUCUGGAGGUUCUCUGGUGCCGAUAAUAAUGAAUUCUUGGCAAAGCAGUGAUCAGGCUCAAUAAGCAGAUAGCUGUUUAUACACAACCUGUUGUGAUUUAUGUUUUGGAAAUACCUGCUCUAAAUUCCAGCCAGGAUCAAACUCUUCUGCUUGUGACUUGUAUGAAAGAUACUGUAUCUGCCUAAACAUAUGACAUCAAGGAUUUUUGUUUUAUUUGUAUGUGGUGUGAUACUGAGCCCAUUGCGCUUGCAAAAUUGAGAAACUUCCAUGAUGUUUUUUUUAACAUGGCAUUACUGCUGCUCAGUCAUGAAGCCAGCUUUUCUGGCCCCUCACCUGAGUUUAAUCUUAUUAUAAUAUAGCUAGUAUUUUAUAAGUAGUACCAUUGUUUAAAUUUGCCACAUCUUAUUUUGUAUAAACAUGCUCUACCAUGAGAAUGCUUUUGAUGUGUUCUUCAGGUCUGCAUACAUUAUGUGACUUAAUGCCUAUAUGGCAGCCAAAAUCCUCUUUUCACCAUUUUCUUGGGCUUCCUUUUACUCUCUGCUGUGUAGGUUCUGUUCUUCUGUUCUUGUGUGUCUGUUAACCCAUGUCUGUGCCUCAGCACCAAAUUUAUCCAUUUAUUUAAAAUGUAUUUUGUAUAAUUUCAAAUAUGCAUUCUUACACAUUAUUGGAUCAUAGUUUGUGUAAAUCAUUUCACUAAUAUGCAUAAAUGUAUGCAUCUGAUUUUCAGAUGUCCAUCACCUUCUGGGCUAAUUACAUUUCCUAUAUAUUGUAAGUUCACAUAUUUCUUGUAUUUGCUUAUUAUUUAGUACACUCUUACACUUCACUGCAUGCUUUCUUUGCAGUUCAUUAACAGAAAUUUUAUCAAAUUGUUUCAUUACUAAUUUAAGUAAUUCAAGAUUUAUUUUAAUCACCUUGUGUUUCUGAAAGUAGUAUGUAAUUGCUGGAAAAAUUAGGCCCAUUAUUAUGAAUGUGAAUUUUUAUGUGACAUAUUUGAGUUCAGCAGAGGAACAUGCAUGAAUAUGUUGGAAGUGUAAGGAUGCGCACAUGAAAUGAAAGUAACAAAUAUUUCACUCUUAUUUUUUUUUUAUUUUAAUGUACUUGUUUACACUUGUACUUAUUUUUAAAUAAAAUGAUUUUCAUUGGAUAGGAUAAUUGAA